GAUGAACGCUGGCGGCGUGCCUAAUACAUGCAAGUCGAGCGAACGGACGAGAAGCUUGCUUCUCUGAUGUUAGCGGCGGACGGGUGAGUAACACGUGGAUAACCUACCUAUAAGACUGGGAUAACUUCGGGAAACCGGAGCUAAUACCGGAUGAUAUUUUGAACCGCAUGGUUCAAAAGUGAAAGACGGCCUUGCUGUCACUUAUAGAUGGAUCCGCGCUGCAUUAGCUAGUUGGUAAGGUAACGGCUUACCAAGGCAACGAUGCAUAGCCGACCUGAGAGGGUGAUCGGCCACACUGGAACUGAGACACGGUCCAGACUCCUACGGGAGGCAGCAGUAGGGAAUCUUCCGCAAUGGGCGAAAGCCUGACGGAGCAACGCCGCGUGAGUGAUGAAGGUCUUCGGAUCGUAAAACUCUGUUAUUAGGGAAGAACAUAUGUGUAAGUAACUGUGCACAUCUUGACGUUACCUAAUCAGAAAGCCACGGCUAACUACGUG
rnacentral:rRNA from 1 species